CGUCCUGGCAGCAUAUAGCAAGCAGCAUGUUCGAUUAUGCGUCAAGGAUACAGCAUAGCAAGUGUGUAUGAAGGUCUGGUUAGUAAAUGGGUACAUAGUUCAAUAGUAAUAUCCUCUAAAACGCACCGGUGACAAACAAACUUUGCUGCCCUGUUUCCAAUUGUCCACAUUGCAGGGAGAACCUAUUCAAGUAAGUAAAUAAAUUUCGAAAAUGUAAAAUAAAUCUAUGUAUUAUUAGCUAACUAGCUACAGUGCAGGCUAACUCAAAUGAGCUGGCUCACUAUCUAGCCAACUUCACAUAAUGUGUAGAUAGGUAGCUGGUGAUAUUUAAUUCAGUUAGCUAGCUAUGUAUCUUGAUGUAUUUAUCACUGUAAAAAAUAAAACUCCAACUGCACUCGUAGGUAACGUUAGCUAGCUAACAGCCAUGGAGGAGGGUGAAAGGAUAGCAGCCCCAACUGUCAGAGUGAGAGAGUAGGCUAUUCAGGAUAGGGCAGGUACUUUUGUGUAGUUCCUGUCCCUAGAUGUGAGGACGGAGAUAAUAGUAACAUAAUAUUCAGUGGGGUGUAAUUUGACUAUAAUGAAGUCUGUUUCUUGUGAGGUUGUCUGUCCUCAGAUAAAGAACUAUGUAAGUCUACAUGUGAAGAGCAGUGGUUCUCAGUCCCGGUCCUGGGACUCAAAGGGGUGCCCAUUUUUGUGUUUGCCAUAGCACUACACAGCUGAUUCAAAUGAUCAACUCAUCGUCAAGCUUCAAGUGAUAUUUAUGUAUUAAUUUGUGAUGCUAUCCUUGACACGAUCCUGUUAUUGGACAUAUGUGUGCUCAUGCAUCUAUCAAUCAUGAUUUGUUAUCAGGAAUAUUAUAUUUUAGUAAUCCACAAUGAUCUGGUGAUGUAAUAGUCUAAUAAUUACAUUGUCUUCCAUAUUCCUACAGAUACCUUGUAACUGGAGAUUCCUUCAAAACGAUUGACUACAGUAUUAUUAAAGAGAUAGAUGCAGUAGUCCCAGAGUUAAAGAUCCAAGUUAUGUUUUGAUGUGAGAGAGGAUGCCAACCCCCAGUCCCAUCAUCGCCACCUCACCCUGCUUUUAAGAUAACCUUCGGGCCGACGAGACACUAGUAUGUAAUUGUGAUGAACUGAGAAUAUUUGGGUAGCACUGAUUCAUGAAUCAUAUCCCUGCUCCUAUGUUCUUAUCUCUUUCCGUUUCUGUCUUUUUACACCUCUCUCGCCACCUCCUUUCUUCCUCUGUUUUUAUAAUGCACAACAGAUGUGCAUUGAAGUACAGAUUGAAUUUGCAUUGAUAAUAUAAUUGUGAUAUUAUAUAUACAUGUAUUUAUAACACUUGGAUAAUUAACUUCUUUCAAUAAAGUGUUUCACAUUC